GGGUACUCGAGUGGCGAACGGGUGAGUAACACGUGAGUAACCUGCCCUUGACUUUGGGAUAACUUCAGGAAACUGGGGCUAAUACCGGAUAGGAGCUCCUGCUGCAUGGUGGGGGUUGGAAAGUUUCGGCGGUUGGGGAUGGACUCGCGGCUUAUCAGCUUGUUGGUGGGGUAGUGGCUUACCAAGGCUUUGACGGGUAGCCGGCCUGAGAGGGUGACCGGCCACAUUGGGACUGAGAUACGGCCCAG
rnacentral:rRNA from 1 species